UGGGGAAUAUUGCACAAUGGAGGGAACUCUGAUGCAGCAACGCCGCGUGCGGGAUGACGGCCUUCGGGUUGUAAACCGCUUUCAGCCAUGACGAAGCUUUUGUGACGGUAGUGGUAGAAGAAGCACCGGCUAACUACGUGCCAGCAGCCGCGGUGAUACGUAGGGUGCGAGCGUUGUCCGGAAUUAUUGGGCGUAAAGAGCUUGUAGGCGGUUUGUCGCGUCGAUAGUGUAAACACGCAGCUUAACUGUGUGCCUGCUGUCGAUACGGGCUGACUAGAGGAGGGUAGGGGAGGAUGGAAUUCCCGGUGGAGCGGUGGAAUGCGCAGAUAUCGGGAGGAACACCAGUGGCGAAGGCGGUUCUCUGGACCUUUCCUGACGCUGAGAAGCGAAAGCGUGGGUAGCAAACAGG
rnacentral:rRNA from 1 species